ensembl:snRNA Gm23100 predicted gene, 23100
AUACUUACCUGGAAGGGGAAAUACCAUGAUUAUGCAGGUGAUUUCUCCAGAGCGAGGUUCAUCCAUUGCACUCUGUGUGUAUUGACCCCAAAUUCGAGGAAACUCGACUGCAUAAUUUGUGGAUGGAGGAACUACUCCCUG